UCGCGUCGCGGCCUCUCGUGCCGACCGGAGCCAAAUGACACAUCAGUGACUGAUUGAAAUACUCUACGUCUGACAUCUGAACCGGCUCCCAGUUAUACUGAUGGCUGCUCGCACCGUCACAGUCACCCGCUCUCUGGUCCUCUGCAUUAAUUGCACAUCCUGUGGCUUUUUCACAAUAAAAAUCCGGGGUUGCGGUUAACAUCUUGAAGCUUUUAACGUGCAGUAGGAAAUGCUGCACUACCGUCUACAUGCUGCGUGGUGUCCAGAGUCCAAUAUGGGAGACUCUGCCACCAACAAUAAAGCUGCACUGUAUUGACGGGGGUACUAAAAGAAUUUAAAAGACACAAUAACCACGUGAAGGCGACAUAAAGAAAGGAGACGAUCCCGCUGUGAUUCAUCACCUGGAUAUCUGCGGCUCCCUCCCCUACCACUCCCCGCGGAGCUUCACGGAGAGCGUCGGCCCGUCCGUCCGUCCGUCCGUCCGUGCCGCCAUUGUUUUUUUUUCUUCAGCUGCAGCUGUUUUCGGAGAAGAGGAGAAGCCGAAACGCCGCCGCCUGCUCCCCUGCACACUCCCACAGCUGGAGACCGACUGCUGAAUGAGAGAAGACACGAGGAUGGGAGUCGUGGUGCUUCUGGCCGGAGCGUGAGCCGCGACCGUAUUGUCUCUCCCGCCAAAUGUGAAAUUAGAGCGAUUAUCGGCGUUAUUACCGCGGGAGUGUGGUCGGACGUGGACAAUUUAAAGAUCGAAAGCCCUAAACGGGCGCUUUUCAAUCGGCACGCCCGGGAUUGAGCGCGAGCGGCGAGGAUUCGCAACAUGUCCGCGGAGUUAAUUACCUCGACCGAGGCCUCGGCGCCGAGGGAGAGAAUGAUUUUUGUGUUUCUUCUCCGUCUUCUGUUGUCUUGUUUUUCUUUCGUACGGCAGAAUCUUUCUCGACCCCCAUUCCACUUUAAUCGGGCGCUGACCUGGCAGCGAGUGUUUCUUAUUCUCUCGUUGAGUACCAACACGUGAUCGCCUACAGUUGAUGACCUUUUCGGGGGGGGGGGGGGGGCACACCUUGACAAUCCACUCGCACAAAAAGUAGAUUUUGUUUCACAGCGCCCCGUCGACCUUUACAAGCGCUUCUCAGGGUUUUUGACAAAUAUAUUUGACCGAUUCAAAGGAGCUCUCUUUCCUCAAAGAACUUGUUGCUCCAACCUUUCGAGGAGGUUUUGGUUUCCCUUCAGAAGUUGUGGUAUAAGAAGAAUAUAUGCAUUUUAUAUUAUUAAAAAAAACAAACUAUACGCACUCAUAUUAUUAGAAUAAUGCAAUGUGCUAUUUGGUUUACAACAGUGACAGUGGAAUGAAACAAAAGAUGUUAUGAAAGAUGGAAAAUAUGUCAUUAAAUAUUUGGAUUAUUCAAGUUUUUCUUUGGCUUUAUCAGCUUGUAUACUGUGUCGUUUAUGCACGGACGAAAAAUAUUGGUUUCUAAAUAUUUAUAUGGUUUAAAAGUCAUACUUUGUGUCAGAUGUGUAUGAUGUACUAACAUUUUGUUUUGGAGGUUUUUUGUUUUUUUUAAAGUUUUGUGUACUUGUCAUGUAAAACGAUAACUUUGAGACGGUUGUUGAAUGAUCCUUCACUGCCUCUUCAAAACUGUGCAUCUGCUCUCAUUUUAAUUUUAGAGCCUGACAGAGCAACACUGUACAUUUUUUUUUCUCCUGCAUAUUUUAAUAAAUAAACCUGAACGCAG